ensembl:lncRNA
UGGGAACCAAGCUCAAAGGAGCACAGGCAAACCUAUUAUAGAGACCGCGAGGGUACCACGUUCCUCCCAGUUCAAAAGCCCAAAUGGGUAGGACCGUGAGGCCUCUGUAAGGUAAAUAAGAGGGAGCCCUCGGAUUCACAUCACGGCCCUCCAUCUUCGGGCCUUGGGACUCAAGCUGGAGUAAUAAUCGUCGGGGUUCAGGAAUCACCACACAAACCGUACAAACACUGAUCUCAGUUAAGCAAGAAGAGUUUAUUGAAUGCACGCCCCAAGACUGACGGAUCGUGACGACAAGAAGAAUUUGGACGGAUCCACCAGAGAUCCUCCGGAGAGACUGGCAAGAAAUUAGAAAAGCAGGAAGAAGAAAGAUGUAUUCCGCAUAGUUCUGACCUCGGAGGCCAUGGUGGCUGCCCCAUCAGCACUAGGAAUGGGUGUAACUGGGUUUCGGGAGUCCCAGUAGGUCUCCUCUACCUCUGGCAAUCUACCACCAACUGUGAAUGUGCAUCAGAAGUAAAGCAGCUGCUCUAUCCUAC